UAUAUUGUUCAGCUAUUAGCCCUCCUCCCCAACUUGCAACAAAUUGCUGUUCCCAGCUCAUUCCUUUCCCUCUUCCAUGCGUCAUCAUUCUCAGUGGCUCACUUGUGGGCAUGCUGGCAGGAUAUGGCAGCAGCUUUGGUUGUGGCUCAAGAAUUUUGCAUACAGUAGCACAUUUGUAUGAAGGUGUGGUUAUUCACAGGCAAAUUGUUAUAUGCUAUGGAGGUGCGUUUGUGUCUUUUUGUCGAGAGCAAAACCUUUAUUAUUUUCAAUCAAAAAUAAUUGUUAUGAAAGCAACCUACGAAGAUGGCCUCUCAGAGAGCGAGCUGAUCAAGGGGUCAAAACAUGUAGAUAUUGCCAGAUGUUCACUGUGUGAGGAACAGGCCGUGGAAGCUUUAUUGCUGGCUUUAUUGUGUCCAUAACCAGAGGUUAUAUCAGCUGUUUUGGUGAACCCCUCCCGCAUCAGAACUGGCUGACAGAGGGCACAGCAUGAUCAUAGGAGAGAUGUCACUUUGUCGGGUCAACAGGAAGUAUUAUUAAAGAGAUGCUUUUCAUUGAAAUACAGACAGAGAUGUAGUAGUCCCAGAGUUAAUGAUCCAAGGUCAGUUUUGCAUUUCACCUCCUUAUUUAUGAUGACUGACCAUGAUAGAAUAAAAAAACAAGGCUCUCCAUCCAUCUGUCUCUCAUCUGCAGGUAUGUUUUGAUGUGAGAGAGGAAGCCAGUCCUGUCAACGCCACCUCUCCCGCUCUUAAGAUAACCUUCGGGCAAACUGGGGACCCAAGUCUGGUUAGGCGACACCGCAAUUGUGAUGAACUGAGAGAAUAUUAGGGUAGCACUGUAAUUCAUGAAUCACAUGCUGUCUGCUGCUGUUCUUACCUCUUUCCCUUUGUCUUCUACACCUCUCUCCCCACCUCGUCUUUCUUCCUCGUUUUAUCAUGCACACCAUAUGUGCAUUGAAGUACAGAUUGAACUUGUAUUUAUAAUAUAUUACAAUUACCAUAAUUAUAAUGCAUAUGUAUUUACAACACCUGGAUAAUGAACCUCUUUCAAUAAAGCGUUUCACAUUCUGCACUGGUUGAAAUUAAGUAUCUCAUUGAAAUACUAUCCUGUGUCCGCAGAUGAAGGGAGUUAUAUAUGCAUAUUUUUUUCUGUAUAUAUGAAUUACAAAUCAAUCAUGUUUCUAGUCUAUUGCAUAGUUACAAUGUGUAAUCAUUGAUGUCCCAGGAGCAGGAGUGGUAAACACUGUUGAAGUGUAUAAUUGUAAUACAUACUGUACAUGCAGACACAGCAUCAUUCAAAUAAUGGAGUUUGAUAUGACUGAAAAAUAAUGUCUCAGACUCUCAUACCUGAACCGCAUGUUUACUUGCCAGGGACGAUUACAUGAUCAGUGAAUAUAAUCAAUGUACAGGCUACAAUGUGGGAAGCUCAUGCGUGGUAAUAACUACAGUACAUGUGUAUAUAGGACUUGCAUCCUUGGCACAAUAAAGUUAUUAUAUUCUACUCUUUCAA